CAUUUAUUUGAGCAGAGACUGCUGGUAGGAGAAAGUACGCAGCAGCAGCAGCAGCAGUACUCAACACUGCUCUAUCACUCUAUGCCCCCCACCACUGCUGGAGACAAGUUGGACGCCAAAAAGAGGAUCAGGGGAUAAAGAUUGGAAGCAACACACCUCUCCAAUGCCACCACCAAUAUAAUUUCUGGAAUACUAUCUUGGUUUUUCCAGCUUUGCCUUGUACCCUUCAGUUUCCUUUUUUCCUUCAGAUACUCAAACGAUUUCCUCUGGCUUAAUUUGAAGGAAUAUUCAUGCGAGCGGAGAGCAUGGCCUGAAUGACAAUUGGUGCCUACCUCUGCACAGGUCAAGCAUUAGUACCAGCAGUGGACUCAAAAAGCCUUCAGCGUAUUAAAUGAAUCUCCUUGAUACUUUUCAGGAACAUCUUAUGGUCUUCACAGCUCGGCACCCAAUCUAUUGGAUACAUGUCCAUGGAGUUACUACUUACGAAAAGUUCCUUUCCAAAUAGGCCUGCUGCCUUUUUUUUUAAUCUCACAAUCCCUCAUUCCCUAUUCCCAUUAUAUUAAGUUUGGGAGCAAAAAAGGCAAGACAUGGUGAGGUUGCUCUGAACUGUGAUUCAAAAUUCACUGGAUUUUGUGGAAGAGAGCAAAUUUAUUGGCUCCAUCAGCAUCAAUAAGUUGUCCAGGUCCAGAGGCAUCAAAGACGCCAAGGACCAUCACACCACCAUGGUUGACUGUAGAUGCAUUAUUGAGAUAUUUAAAUCAUUCUCCUGGCAUCCUGCAACACUACCAAGCCCUCCUCCUGUUGCCUUUGCCUCACGGGAGAUCAUUCAUGCAUCACAAAUGGAGGCUGCACUAGUAGA